rnacentral:tRNA from 1 species
AGAGAAAUUUGUUUGCUUGCAAACAAAUAGAAAGACGACGAAAUUGACUCUUUUUUAUGAAGUUCUACUUCGCUGUUAUCCUCAAUGAUUUUUGUGAGACAGUCUCGUAGCUCAGCUGGUUAGAGCGCUACACUGAUAAUGUAGAGGUCGGCAGUUCGAGUCUGCCCGAGACUACGAUACGGAAAGUCUGGAAGCUGAAAUGCUGCUCCAUAAGGAACUUGUUUCAGGUUCAACUUUUAUGGGGGAUUAGCUCAGCUGGCUAGAGCGCUUGAUUUGCAUUCAAGAGGUCAUCGGUUCGACUCCGAUAUUCUCCACAGAUGGGAGUUUGAGGAAGGUUGCGCAGCAACACUCCGAAAACAACCAACUUAAACGUUCAUUGACAUAUUGAGUAAUAUACAAUCAAAUUUAUAAGGUAUAAGCACACAAUCGAGCCGAUUGUGGAGCUUGUACGAGCAAUUAGUAACAAUUUCAUAUAUAAGAGAAAUAAUCGUUAC